UUGGGACUUCCUUUCCUGGCUACCAGACUGCUAUUUACUGCAUACAACCACUGGCUGGAUUGUGUCCUGCCAGACACAGAUGUUUCCUAUAGCCACAACAGCGCCAAAGCAGCUACAGGUGUUCAGCUCCAACCUCACAGACUUCCAACAAGCUGGACCUGCACCUUCCCUCCCAGCCAUGGGUGUUCUCACAGACCUGGAAAAGCAUCAAAGCAGCCUAUUCUUCCUGGACUUGGUCGACACUUCAGCCUUUUGACCUCCCUACAUUGCCCCCAGUGUCAGCAGGAAGUAGCCAGAAGAGAAUCUACGCCCUUAUUCACUUGUUAACAAAAGGCUGAAGUGGUGUGCUUCAGGACCAGGACAAGCAGCUCCAGGUUCUCCCAGUGUUCCCCAGUCCUUCCCCGCUGCCUUGCAUGGCUGGCAACUCUCUGUUGACAACCCUCUGCCCUAAAUUUUCCAGGGCAGAGACUUCUCUUAUUCUUAACCCUGCAACCUAACCAUUUUGUUACUAUAACUCUUCUCUCUCUCAACCUCUUGCAUGACAACCAAGAGCUGCUUCCAGUGAGCCUAAAUUUAUAUACUUUAACUCACCUUAUAAAAGGCAGCCCAAGAUCCCUAUUUUUAAUUAUAGAAAAAGGGAGGAAUGUUGGGAUCAGUAAGCAGGCACUUCUAUGGCCAGCCCCAUAGACCGGUUAUCAGGCAUUUGUAAAGACACCCUGACCACCUGGAAUUACCUGUGCAUGCCCUUGAUCACCCUAUAAGAGAACUGGAACCCUCCCCCCUCUCUCUCUUCUUUCCUCUUCCUCUCUCUUCUCCUCUCUCUCCCCAUCUCUCUUCCUUUCUCUGUCUCUGCUCCCUUCUCCCCCCUUCCCCUAAUAAACCUCCCACGUGGAAACGA